rnacentral:rRNA from 2 species
UGGCGGGUCCAUCUGCAGUCGAGCGAAUCAAUGGGAGCUUGCUCCCUGAGAUUAGCGGCGGACGGGUGAGUAACACGUGGGUAACCUGCCUGUAAGACUGGGAUAACUUCGGGAAACCGGAGCUAAUACCGGAUAGUUUCUUUUCUCGCAUGAGAGAAGAUGGAAAGAUGGUUUCGGCUAUCACUUACAGAUGGACCCGCGGCGCAUUACCUAGUUGGGGAGGUAACGGCUCACCAAGGCAACAAUGCGUACCCAACCUGAAAGGGGGAUCGGCCACCCGGGGACUGAAACACGGCCCAAACUCCUACGGGAGGCAGCAGUAGGGAAUCUUCCGCAAGGGACAAAAGUCUGACGGACCACCGCCCCGGGAGCGAAAAAGGCCUUCGGGUCGUAAAGUUCUGUUGUUAGGGAAAAACAAGUACAAAAGUAACUGCUCGUACCUUGACGGUACCUAACCAAAAAGCCACGGCUAACUACUUGCCACCAGCCGCGGUAAUACGUAGGUGGCAAGCGUUGUCCGGAAUUAUUGGGCGUAAAGCGCGCGCAGGCGGUCCUUUAAGUCUGAUGUGAAAGCCCACGGCUCACCCGUGAAGGGUCAUUGAAAACUGGGGAACUUGAGUGCAAAAAAGGAGAGUGAAAUUCCACGUGUAGCGUUGAAAUGCGUAGAGAUGUGAAGGAACACCAGUGGCGAAGGCGACUCUCUGGUCUGUAACUGACGCUGAGGCGCGAAAGCUUGGGGGAGCAAACAGGAUUAGAUACCCUGGUAGUCCACGCCGUAAACGAUGAGUGCUAGUGUUAGGAGGGUUUCCGCCCUUUAGUGCUGCAGCUAACGCAUUAGGCACUCGCUGGGGAGUACGGCCGCAGCUGAAACUCAAAGAUGACGGGGCCGCACAGCGUGAGCAUGUGUAUCGAGCACGCGAGACUACAGUCUGACAUCUCUGCACUAGAGAAAGGCGUCCUCGGGGACGAUGACAGUG